UACGGGGGGGGCAAGCGUUGUUCGGAAUUACUGGGCGUAAAGGGCUCGUAGGCGGCCAACUAAGUCAGACGUGAAAUCCCUCGGCUUAACCGGGGAACUGCGUCUGAUACUGGAUGGCUAGAGUGUGGGAGAGGGAUGCGGAAUUCCAGGUGUAGCGGUGAAAUGCGUAGAUAUUGGGAGGAACACCAGUGGCGAAGGCGGCUACCUGGACCGGAACUGACGCUGAUGCGCGAAAGCGUGGGUAGCAAACAGG
rnacentral:rRNA from 1 species